ACAAAAAGGGGGAGACCCAUAUGAGCAACUCGUACUGCAGGUACACAGAAUUUUCCUCAGUGACGGGUAACAUGCACUAUAUACAAAACAACAAAAACUGUGAUAAAUAAAAUCAAUUUAAUACUUGUGACAUGAAUGGACCCAACCACAGUCAAUUCCAACAGUAAUGUGGUUAAAAACAUGGUUAUGCCUACAGCUACAGUAAAAAAGGAGUGGAGCAGGCAGCCUGGGAGCUGCUGUGCUCUAGUCAGCCUACCAAAAAGACGCAGGAGCAACGCAGCAGCUGCCUGCUAGCUUCCCAACCUGUGCCUUCCCCUACAGACUAAUAAAGCCCAUGACGUGCAUCCGAACCAGACAGGACCUAAUGACUCUGUUAAAACAGCCUCUGGCAGAGCGAAUGUAACUGCCCGCGUAAGUGACAAACAGCAGACAUUAGAUGAUGAGUCACUUAAAGCUCUCAAACCUCAUGGCACAAGCUUAAUAAUUAAAACCGUGAGACCGACUGUGGAUGCCCAGGGCAGGCAGCCGCACAUAUCCACUUUCCUAUCCCAGCCUGGUCCCAGAGGAGGUCAGCGUCUUUACCCUGGAUCCAGCGUAGGGACCCUUAAGGCACGCUCUGCUGCCCGAGCAACCCAUGGCGCAGCGCUCUGGUGCGGCUUCGCUCAGUCCAGAGGAGUUGCAGGGAGACAGCAGUCCAGGUGGAGGAAGCGUGGCCACCUCCACCUCCCCACACAAACUGCUCCCUCUCCCCCUUUACAUCGGAGGGCUGGCGGGAUAGAGCCAUUCCAUUGGACCUGGGCUCCACCAACCACUCGCUUCCCAGUGGUGAGGGUUUACCAUAAAGUCACUAAUAGAGGAGCAGCAGGAGAGAAUGCUAUGCAUGUGGGAAGGAUACGCAAUCGCUGCACUUUGAGACCGCCACCCAAGGCAAAUAAAAGAAGGGUGGGAUGGAAAACACAAACGGAAGUCUGACAGUAACCUGAUCGAGUGGCACUUACUGAAAUGCUGCAUGUUACGGUAGAGGGGUCAACAGUGACCUUCCCACAGCAGACGAGAGAGGGGAGAGUCUGCGCUCUACUCGGUCAGCUCAGGUUCACGUUAUUUGAGAACUGCGUUCCUCCUCACACACCAGUGCCCCUCUAAAUAUACUAAUUUAAUGCAUGUGAUAUUUCACAGAAAUGCAUAUGGGGUUAGCAGCAAAAUAUAUAUUCGCCCAAACGUUUCUGCACCACAAAGAUAACAAGAAAGAUCAAAUUGGACAUAGAUUGAAGCCUAAAGUAAUUCCUAUGUUUUAUUAAAGGUGGUUUUAUGUUCCAAUUAAAAAAAACAAAACAAUUGUGUUAGUCCCCAGACCACACAGACUCGAAGCCUUCAAUGUCACAAGAAAAGCCACUCUAAUACCUUAAAAUGUCCCUUAGCUACUAAGCGACUUGCUAAUAAACUGCAUCAGAAGUCAAUGGACAGCAGCUUUUUAAACUAAAAGGGGCCACCAAAAACAGGCAAAAACAAUGUUGUUUUGGCGCUACACAAACAAUGCUACUCAUCAGUGCAAAAGAUGUGACUCAACAAAAUGGAUGUGCGCCGCCUUAUAGUAAACUUAUGGCAACGUGCUAAGGGUGGUGACAACUUUUUUUUGCAAACAAACGAUAUGGACCUAAUUACACCUUUCGGAUUGCCUGGCUCUGCUUGCAACGCUAUAAAGUUGGCAGCUGCACGUACUUACAAAGAGAGGACAGUAGGCACAAAUGCUAUUCUUAGGCCAAAAUCUGCUUUCUGUUUAACAGCUUGCACUGCAGGACAUUGUGUUCCUAUAACAAAAUACAAUCAGUUUAUGUGCUAAUAUGUAACUGUAUAUAAUUAUGUGCUGUCAUAGCAAACAAACAAAGGAUGAAGGUGAGAAGGCUGUGUGAGCUCUUUGUUGUCAAUGAAAUACGCGUGUCCUAAACAAAAAACUGAAUUGAUUGAAUUAAAAAGGUAUCAAACGAA